GCUAAACCCCAAGGCGAAACGAAAGUGAAGCGGGAGGGAAGAAAGGGCGAGGUUCUUCCUCUCUUUUCUUUCUCUCUUCGAUAGGGCCGAUCCGGUUCGGGGUGCGCGAGUGGGAGUCCGGGGGGCGGUAGUAUUCUCGUCUCCUCGGAGGCGUGGUGCUGCCGUUUUUCCCUCUCCCUCCUCUCCCCUCGAUUCGACUCCUUGAUAUGAGUACGGCGCAGGCCCGGGGCUCGCACGCGACCUCCCCGCCGUUAUGCUAAGCCGUUCGUUUUUUCUCGACGUUCGCGAGUGCGGCUCGUCUUUGUGGCGUUUUCCCGAACUCUCUCUCCUCAUUCUCGCCCUCGGGUGCGUCGUUUUUGCGGCGCGCUCGGUGGUGGUCUGAGGAAGGGGGCUAGGGGGGCGUUCGCGGGCUCCGUCAGUGCGACGUUCGGGGCGACGGCUCGCUGGCGUGGGACGAGCAGCGGGUUCUUGGAGCGCAUAUUCUAGUACCCGAAAGAUGGUGAUCUAUGCUUGGCCAGGAUGAAGCCAGAGGAAACUCUGGUGGAGGUCC
rnacentral:rRNA from 1 species